GCUAGUGAUGGAUCCUGAGCAGAGUUUCAAGUUUUCAUCCCAGGGUAUUGGAGAUGACUUCCACAACAGACCCUCUCUUUCAUGGCGAUUUCAGGCUGUGCAACUGCCAACUCUCUCUCAGCUGGUAGGUUCCAUGCCUUUCCCUCUGAGCUGUGAAGCUUUUGUGCAUGAUGUGUCUAAUGCAUUGCUGACAAGUGAGGCUUCUGCAUCGUUGGAGCCAGGGCAUACCUUGCACACUGCGCUCCUGGGGUGGCCAAAGCCAGGAAUCAGCCCUCUAGCUGGGAGGAGCCUCAGGAAGUUUGGACCAGCGGCUGCCACCAAGCUUCUGCCUCUCCAUCUGUAGUCACCAAACACUAAGUGUGUGCGUGGCUGUCAGCCCAGUCAGCUCCAGUGAGGGUAGCCCAAAUCUACUUGUGAACACCCACUGGCCCAAGAAGUGGAUAUAAGAUGCUUCACAGUUCAUAUUUCUAGGCAAAACACAUGGCUUUUGAGAUUUUAAGCUUCUGAAUUUAGAGUGAUUGUUUUUUUAGUAGGUUAUGGGAACAAGCCACAGACAGAAACAAACAAACAGAAAUUUGCAUCCUGUAAAUAUCACCUUGAUAGAGACAUUUCAUCCAGGGAAAUCCUCCUGCUCCUGUCUCAUUUUCCUCUCUGGUUUUGCCAAGGGAGGAGGAAACCCAGCAAAUGCGUAAAACAUUUUUCCAUAUUUGACUAAAGUUGGC
rnacentral:lncRNA from 1 species